GAUGAACGCUGGCGGUAUGCUUAACACAUGCAAGUCGAACGGACUCUUCGGAGUUAGUGGCGGACGGGUGAGUAACGCGUGAGAAUCUGGCUUUGGGUUCGGGACAACCACUGGAAACGGUGGCUAAUACCGGAUGUGCCGAGAGGUAAAAGAGAAAUUGCCUGAAGAUGAGCUCGCGUCUGAUUAGCUAGUUGGUGAGGUAAAGGCUCACCAAGGCAGCGAUCAGUAGCUGGUCUGAGAGGAUGACCAGCCACACUGGGACUGAGACACGGCCCAGACUCCUAAGGGAGGCAGCAGUGGGGAAUUUUCCGCAAUGGGCGAAAGCCUGACGGAGCAAUACCGCGUGAGGGAAGAAGGCUCUUGGGUUGUAAACCUCUUUUCUUAGGGAAGAACAAAAUGACGGUACCUAAGGAAUCAGCAUCGGCUAACUCCGUG
rnacentral:rRNA from 1 species